rnacentral:rRNA from 1 species
UACGUAGGGUGCGAGCGUUAAUCGGAAUUACUGGGCGUAAAGUGUGCGCAGGCGGCCGCGCAAGUCGAGUGUGAAAGCCCCGGGCUUAACUUGGGAAUUGCGCUCGAAACUACGUGGCUGGAGUGUGGCAGAGGAAGGUGGAAUUCCACGUGUAGCGGUGAAAUGCGUAGAGAUCCGGAAGAACACCGGUGGCGAAGGCGGCCCGCUGGGCAACUGCUGACACUGAGGCGCGACAGCGUGGGGAGCAAACAGG